rnacentral:misc_RNA from 1 species
GAUGAAGAACGUAGCGAAAUGCGAUAAGUAAUGUGAAUUGCAGAAUUCAGUGAAUCAUCGAAUCUUUGAACGCACCUUGCGCCCUUUGGCCAUUCCGAAGGGCAUGCCUGUUUGAGUAUCAUGAACACCUCAACUCUUUAUGGUUUUCCAUGAUGAGCUUGGACUCUGGGGGUUUUGCUGGCUCACAGUCGGCUCCUCUAAAAUGAAUCAGCUUACCAGUGUUUGGUGGGUAUCAUGGGUGUGAUAACUAUCAACGCUUGUGGUUUUUCCACCAGGUAACCUUCAGCAGUGGAGGUUCGCUGGAGCUCAUAGAUGUCUCUCCUCAGUGAGGACAGCCCUUUGAAUGUUUGAUCUCAGAUCAGGUAGGACUACCCGCUGAACUUAAGCAUAUCAAUAAGCGGAGGA